CCUACGGGAGGCAGCAGUGGGGAAUAUUGCACAAUGGGGGGAACCCUGAUGCAGCGACGCCGCGUGGGUGAAGGAGCACCUCGGUGCGUAAAGCCCUAUCGGCAGGGAAGAAACAGACGGUACCUGAGUAAGAAGCCCCGGCUAACUACGUGCCAGCAGCCGCGGUAAUACGUAGGGGGCAAGCGUUAUCCGGAUUCACUGGGUGUAAAGGGAGCGUAGACGGCGACGCAAGUCUGGAGUGAAAGCCCGGGGCCCAACCCCGGGACUGCUCUGGAAACUGCGGCGCUGGAGUACGGGAGGGGCAGGCGGAAUUCCUGGUGUAGCGGUGAAAUGCGUAGAUAUCAGGAGGAACACCGGCGGCGAAGGCGGCCUGCUGGACCGUGACUGACGUUGAGGCUCGAGAGCGUGGGGAGCAAACAGGAUUAGAUACCCCAGUAG
rnacentral:rRNA from 1 species